rnacentral:rRNA from 1 species
GAUGAACGCUGGCGGCGUGCCUAAUACAUGCAAGUAGAACGCUGAAGCUUGGUGCUUGCACCGAGCGGAUGAGUUGCGAACGGGUGAGUAACGCGUAGGUAACCUGCCUCUUAGCGGGGGAUAACUAUUGGAAACGAUAGCUAAUACCGCAUAAAAGUCGACAUCGCAUGAUGUUGACUUGAAAGGUGCAAUUGCAUCACUAAGAGAUGGACCUGCGUUGUAUUAGCUAGUUGGUGAGGUAACGGCUCACCAAGGCAACGAUACAUAGCCGACCUGAGAGGGUGAUCGGCCACACUGGGACUGAGACACGGCCCAGACUCCUACGGGAGGCAGCAGUAGGGAAUCUUCGGCAAUGGGGGCAACCCUGACCGAGCAACGCCGCGUGAGUGAAGAAGGUUUUCGGAUCGUAAAGCUCUGUUGUAAGAGAAGAACGAGUGUGAGAGUGGAAAGUUCACACUGUGACGGUAACUUACCAGAAAGGGACGGCUAACUACGUGCCAGCAGCCGCGGUAAUACGUAGGUCCCGAGCGUUAUCCGGAUUUAUUGGGCGUAAAGCGAGCGCAGGCGGUUAGAUAAGUCUGAAGUUAAAGGCUGUGGCUUAACCAUAGUACGCUUUGGAAACUGUUUAACUUGAGUGCAAGAGGGGAGAGUGGAAUUCCAUGUGUAGCGGUGAAAUGCGUAGAUAUAUGGAGGAACACCGGUGGCGAAAGCGGCUCUCUGGCUUGUAACUGACGCUGAGGCUCGAAAGCGUGGGGAGCAAACAGG